rnacentral:rRNA from 1 species
ACUUAGCGGCGAUGGGUGAGUAACACGUACUUAACGUACCUUCUAGAUUGGGAUAACGCUGAGAAAUUAGCGCUAAUACCGGAUACUUAUAAGAAACGCAUGUUUCUUAUAUAAAAGGAGCCCUCAAGCUCCACUAGAAGAUCGGGGUGCGGAACAUUAGCUAGUUGGUAAGGUAAUGGCUUACCAAGGCUAUGAUGUUUAACGGGGUUGAGAGACUGAUCCGUCACACUGGGACUGAGAUACGGCCCAGACUCCUACGGGAGGCAGCAGUAGGGAAUUUUCCACAAUGGGCGAAAGCCUGAUGGAGCGACACAGCGUGCAGGAUGAAGGCCUUCGGGUUGUAAACUGCUGUUAUUUAGGAUGAAAAAAUAGUAGAGGAAAUGCUAUUAUCUUGACAGUACUAAAUCAGAAAGCAACGGCUAACUAUGUGCCMGCAGCCGCGGUAAUACAUAGGUUGCAAGCGUUAUCCGGAAUUAUUGGGCGUAAAGCGUCUGUAGGUUGUUAGUUAAGUCUGGCGUCAAAACUUGGGGCUCAACCCCAAAUCGCGUUGGAUACUGGCUAACUAGAAUUGUGUAGAGGUUAACGGAAUUCCUUGUGAAGCGGUGAAAUGCGUAGAUAUAAGGAAGAACMUCAACUUGGCGAAGGCAGUUAACUGGGCACAUAUUGACACUGAGAGACGAAAGCGUGGGGAGCAAACAGGAUUAGAUACCCUGGUAGUCCACGCCGUAAACGAUGAUGAUUAGCUGAUGGGAACCAUCGGCGCAGCUAACGCAUUAAAUCAUCCGCCUGAGUAGUAUGCUCGCAAGAGUGAAACUUAAAGGAAUUGACGGGGAUCCGCACAAGCGGUGGAGCAUGUGGUUUAAUUUGAAGAUACGCGUAGAACCUUACCCACUCUUGACAUCUUCUGCAAAGCUA